CAGGCCUAACACAUGCAAGUCGAGCGGAAACGGCAGUAUUGAAACUUCGGUGGAUUUACUGGACGUCGAGCGGCGGACGGGUGAGUAACGGCUGGGAACCUGCCCUGACGAGGGGGAUAACCGUUGGAAAUGACGGCUAAUACCGCAUAAUGUCUUGAUUCGUUAGAGUCAGGACCAAAGGUGGCCUCUACAUGUAAGCUAUCGCGUUGGGAUGGGCCCAGUUAGGAUUAGCUAGUUGGUAAGGUAAUGGCUUACCAAGGCAACGAUCCUUAGCUGGUUUGAGAGGAUGAUCAGCCACACUGGGACUGAGACACGGCCCAGACUCCUACGGGAGGCAGCAGUGGGGAAUAUUGCACAAUGGGGGAGACCCUGAUGCAGCCAUGCCGCGUGUGUGAAGAAGGCCUUCGGGUUGUAAAGCACUUUCAGCAGUGAGGAAGGUCGUGUACUUAAUACGUGCACGGCUUGACGUUAGCUGCUGAAGAAGCACCGGCUAACUCCGUGCCAGCAGCCGCGGUAAUACGGAGGGUGCGAGCGUUAAUCGGAAUUACUGGGCGUAAAGCGCAUGCAGGCGGUUUGUUAAGUCAGAUGUGAAAGCCCGGGGCUCAACCUCGGAACCGCAUUUGAAACUGGCAGGCUAGAGUCUUGUAGA
rnacentral:rRNA from 1 species